UCCAUGGCUGCUUUCCUCAUCUCUCUGCACGGUAUGGCUGAUAGCUUGGUCAUGUCGGUUGGGAGGAGCAUUCCGACGAACAGCUCAUGCGCCAACUUGUAAUCUUCUAGAGCUGAAGCUUCUAGCUCCAGUCUGGCUGGCGCAGCUCUAGAAACUCCAGCUGACACUGUCCUGAAAGUCCCAACUAUCUUGACCGACGCUCCCUUGGGGAAAGAGUCAAUGACUUGGGGACUUGACAAAGCUGGCGGUCCUGGAGGGGUUGGCAGGCUUAAAGCUAUCCGCUCGAAGCCAUAGUCUAUUUGGCUUCCUUGAUCCCC
rnacentral:lncRNA from 1 species